GAAGGUGUGGCUUAAGCUGUAGAGCCCUUGCCUAGCAAGCAUGAGGCCUUGAGUUCAAACCUCAGUAUUGCCA
rnacentral:tRNA from 1 species